rnacentral:rRNA from 1 species
CACGUAGGGCGCAAGCGUUGUCCGGAAUUAUUGGGCGUAAAGAGCUCGUAGGCGGCCUGUUGCGUCCGCUGUGAAAGCCCGGGGCUUAACCCCGGGUCGGCAGUGGAUACGGGCAGGCUAGAGGUAGGUAGGGGAGAAUGGAAUUCCUGGUGUAGCGGUGAAAUGCGCAGAUAUCAGGAGGAACACCGGUGGCGAAGGCGGGUCUCUGGGCCGAUACUGACGCUGAGGAGCGAAAGCAUGGGUAGCGAACAGG